ACAUUUAUUUUGUAGAUUAAUCCACAGGUUCAUUUAAAUUUGCUGGCGUAACAGUUGACAAAUCACGCGAUUUAGUAGGCUACAAGCAUUUCGCUGCGCGAGGCGCUGGGGGGCAAGAGCAGCAGACUGGAUGGAGCCAGACAGUCCGUGUGCUAGAAGCAGUUGACAAUAUUCGGACGCUUAUCCAGAGAAGAAUUAGGCUACAAAUCUACAUCUGUGUUCAAGAGGUGGAUGCCCAGGCCAGUCCUGCAAGGGUGAUAGGCUUGGGAAGACUCCUGCUGUGAUGCAGCAGCAGCAACAGCAGCAGAAACACCCCCUCUGCUGAUCCAGACGGUUCGUUCUGCUGCCUCUGGACAACUGGCAUGCUUCUGUCUGCCCUCUUGGCCAAUAAGACAUUCAGAGAGAAGGGGUGGUUUGUUGUUGUUUUGAAAGUGGUGCUUACUUUGGUGUACUAUGUCAUCUAUUUAGUAUGAUACAGUAUGUUUUGUUCUGCAAAAAAAAGUAAUCAUAUGUUUGCAAUUUGUUCUAUAUGUUACAAAUCUGUUGCGCUUAAAAUCCCGGACUGCUUCUUUUUUUUUUGACAGGGGCUCUAAUGGUUGUCAAACCACAAGGAUAUGAGGGUGGGGUAACCGCUGAAGCAAACUGGCAGAGACCAGUCCAGAUCACGUCUAGCCUGCGCUACCAUCACUGUGGACCAUCAUCAUGGAGAGUCAGCGGCAUCUUUUUGACCCUUGGGGUCACGAUCGCCGGGCCCUGAUUGGCCCUGAGACAAAGCAGGGACAGUGUUGAAGACUCACUCCAGAGAAAAUAGAAAGAGAGCGAGAGAUUUGAAAACUAUAGCACAGUCAAUCUCUCCAAUACAGUGCUGUAUCACUGGAACACAUUUUACUUUUGUUUAAGUAAAUUGAGGGUUGAAUUUUAAUUUCCCCCCAAAAUGAAAGCACAUACUCCUCCUACCUGGGACUGAUAGUACCAUAAUGCAUGGAUGACAUCUGUCCAGCAUAAGUAUCACAACAUCGAGAGCUCUGAGCCCUCACAUUUUAAAUCAUCCUAGUUGGUGCCAGUUUACCCACCCAUAGAUAUCAGAAUACAUUCACACCAUAUACUCUUUUAUUCUGAGACUAUUUCACAUUGCACAGGUGGACUAUGGAGCAAGUCUGAUCACUAUAAACAGUCAAACAGAGAGCCACUCUAGUGUUGCGUGACUCGGGUUCUGUUUGGUUUGUGUCAUGGAGUCUGAGGAGAGCCUGGGACUGUCGACUGCAGCUGUGGUGGCCAUCACCUGCAAUGCCUUGGUGGCCAUCCUCCUCCUCGUCCUCUUCCUCAUUCUCUACAAGGCCUGUAAGGUGCCCUCCAGCCAGGAGAGGGUACCUGUGCUGGCGGUUCCUACUGGGCAGACGCAACAGAGCAGCGAACACAAGUACUUGCUGACUUCAUGACUGGUAGCCAGAGAGAGAGAGUGAGCACCACAGUGUAUACAUAGGUCUCAGGGAGGUACUGUAUACUAGAGGAGUAGACCGAUCCCAGGUGUGUUUAUUAGGGCUGGGACGAUACCAGUAUCGCGAUACUAGUUAGUAUUGUGGCAAGGAAACAAAGCACAAAGCGGAUGUCACUUCUGUUGGAAAACCGCCCUA